AUGGCUACCCAAGGAGAGCCCCAAGUCCAGUAUAAACUUGUAUUGGCUGGUGAUGGUGAUACUUGGAAAAACUAUAUCCAUGAAACAUUUGACUGGUAAAUUUGAGACAUAGUCACUUUGAGUAUUCAGGUUCACCAUCUUGUAUUCUAAAUCAACAGAAAACCUAUUAAGUUCAAUGUAUGGAAUACAGCCAACCAGGAGAAUUUGGUGAGUUGAGAGAUGGCUAGUAUGCUAUCCAAACACUCAGUGUGCCAUUAUUAUAUCUGAUGUAACAUUGAGAGUUACUUACUAGAAUGUGCCUUACUGGUACAGAUAUCUGGAAUGAGUAUGUGAAAACAUUCCCAUCACAUUGUGUGGCAGCAAAGUAGAUAUUAAGGGCAGAAAAGUGUAGGCAAAAUUAAUUUUCUUCCACUCAAAGAGGAAUCUUCGGUACUAUGCUAUUUCUGCCCAAACUGCAGCUCUGAAAAGUCCUUCUUCUGGCUUUCUAGAAAGCUCACUGGAGACCCUAACCUGGAAUUUGUUGCUAUGCCUGCUCUUGCCUCACCAGAGGUUAUCAUGGACUCUGCUUUGGCAGCACAGUAUAAGCAUGAUUUAGAGAUUGCUCAAACAACUGCUCUUCCGGAAGAGGAUUAUGACCUAUGAGAAUGAAGCUGGAGCCCAGCAUCAGAAGUCUAGUUUUUUAUACACAGCUGUCGUGUGAUGUCAGUGGUACAGUGUGUGUGCCACUUUAUUAUCUAGCUAAGCGGAACAUGUGCUUCAUCUGUGGGGUGCUAAAGGAGAUGAAUGGGCUUUGGAGUGAAUGUAGCAGUUUACAAACUACCUUCAUUGUUUGGACUUGCAUAUUUAGCUGUUUUGGAAUGCAGUUGUUGCCUUCUUGAGUUUCAAACACGAGAUUGCUACAGUCACAUCACGAUAUUCAUUGGUGAAGUCUUGUUUGUUACUGUGAUUCCCAUUCCUUUUUGUUUAGAAUAAAUUGUGUUUCAAAUAUCUAA